GGGGUGAUGGAUGACUACAAAGAUCAAUGGCGAUGCACCUGCUGGUCUUUGGACAGGGGAGUAUCUUGCUCCGCCGCUUAAGACCUGGGCUGGCCAACCCUGCUUGUCCCAAUGGUUGGUCCACCACAGAUUACGAUUGAGGAUAGUCGACAUGAGAUUGGGGGCUUGUGACCGAUGCAGGAAGACAAUGCUGAUGUGCCACUUGUUGGAGGAAGUUGACAUCGAAGUGUUGUUUGCUGGAGGAAGAUGAUGUAAUAAGGGUACUCUUCUGAAAUCUAAAGGACAAUGAGUUUUUGAGAUGGUCGAACCAUUGCCUGGGGAAGGUAUUUUAGGGAUGGCUGAGUUGACCACGCUUGCUCGAUGGAAAGAGAUGUUACUUGGAUGCGGAGAGAUUUUAUAUAUGUACGUGAACAUGAGAUUUUGUUUCUGCUCGGAGAGAUUGUAUCUCUGUACAAUAUUGGUAGAGUUUGGUUAUGUUUGGAGAGAUUGUAUCUUUGCAUAGGAUUGUGAGAGUUUGGUCAUUGCGUCCUGUA